CUAAGCCGAGGCGAAAGGCGUAGGCGAUGGACAACAGGUUGAUAUUCCUGUACCACCUCCUCACCAUUUGAGCAAUGGGGGGACGCAGGAGGAUAGGGUAAGCGCGGUAUUGGAUAUCCGCGUCCAAGCAGUUAGGCUGGGAAAUAGGCAAAUCCGUUUCCCGUAAGGCUGAGCUGUGAUGGCGAGCGAAAUAUAGUAGCGAAGUUCCUGAUUCCACACUGCCAAGAAAAGCCUCUAGCGAGGUGAGAGGUGCCCGUACCGCAAACCGACACAGGUAGGCGAGGAGAGAAUCCUAAGGUGAUCGAGAGAACUCUCGUUAAGGAACUCGGCAAAAUGACCCCGUAACUUCGGGAGAAGGGGUGCUCUGUUA
rnacentral:rRNA from 1 species